UAGCCGCGGUAUUUUGACCGUGCGAAGGUAGCAUAAUCAGUAGUCUAUUAAAUGUGGUCUGGAAUGAACGGUUUGACGUAGGGUAUCUUUCUUAUUAAUAUUGAUGAAGUUUAAUUAUUAGUUAAAAUGCUAAUAUAUAUUAGAGGGACGAGAAGACCCUAUAGAUCUUUAUAUAUAAUGCAUAGAUUAUUGGUAUUUAAUAUGUUAAUUAUAUUUUGCUGGGGCGGCAGCGUGUUGAUCACUUGUUAUAUUAUCUGUUUAAUAGGUUAAAGGAUCCAUUAUUAUUGAUUAUAAGUCUAAGAUACCUUAGGGAUAACAGCGUAAUCUUAUUUUAGAGUUCUUAUCGAUAAUAGGGUUUGCGACCUCGAUGUUGGAUUAAGAUUCCUUUUUGGCGCAGUAGUUAAAAUAGGUAGUCUGUUCGACUAUUAAAUUCUUACA
rnacentral:rRNA from 1 species